rnacentral:rRNA from 1 species
GAGUUUGAUCCUGGCUCAGGACGAACGCUGGCGGCGUGCCUAAUACAUGCAAGUCGAGCGAACCAAUUGAAAGCCUAGCUUCCAUGAGGUUAGCGGCGGACGGGUGAGUAACACGUGGGUAACCUGCCCUAUAGACUGGGAUAACUCGCGGAAACGCGUGCUAAUACCGGAUAACACAUCAAAGUGCAUGUUUUGAUGUUGAAAGAUGGUUCUGCUAUCACUAUAGGAUGGGCCCGCGGCGCAUUAGCUUGUUGGUGGGGUAACGGCCUACCAAGGCGACGAUGCGUAGCCGACCUGAGAGGGUGAUCGGCCACACUGGGACUGAGACACGGCCCAGACUCCUACGGGAGGCAGCAGUAGGGAAUCUUCCACAAUGGGCGAAAGCCUGAUGGAGCAACGCCGCGUGAGCGAAGAAGGUCUUCGGAUCGUAAAGCUCUGUUGUAAGGGAAGAACAAGUGCAGUAGUAACUGGCUGCACCUUGACGGUACCUUACUAGAAAGCCACGGCUAACUACGUGCCAGCAGCCGCGGUAAUACGUAGGUGGCAAGCGUUGUCCGGAAUUAUUGGGCGUAAAGCGCGCGCAGGCGGUCUCUUAAGUCUGAUGUGAAAGCCCCCGGCUUAACCGGGGAGGGUCAUUGGAAACUGGGAGACUUGAGUGCAGGAGAGGGAAGCGGAAUUCCAUGUGUAGCGGUGAAAUGCGUAGAGAUAUGGAGGAACACCAGUGGCGAAGGCGGCUUCCUGGCCUGUAACUGACGCUGAGGCGCGAAAGCGUGGGGAGCAAACAGGAUUACAUACCCUGUUAGUCCACGCCGUAAACGAUGAGUGCUAAGUGUUAAAGGGUUUUCACCCCCUAUUGCUGCAGCUUACGCAUUA